GCAGAGUAGGCCAGCACGCGUAAAGUGCCGGGGGAACGGGGAGUUGUCCGCCGGACGAAAAGAGAGAUUUCUCUUGCGGUGUGCCGGCCGCAUCCCGCUGC
rnacentral:ncRNA from 1 species